GUGCUUGCUUCGGCAGCACAUACACUAAAAUCAGAAUGAUACAGAGAAGAUUAGCAUGGCCUCUGCACAAGGAUGAUGUGAAAAUCUGUAAAGCAUUCCAUAUUUUA
ensembl:snRNA U6 U6 spliceosomal RNA